GUAAGGUUGGUUGUAGUGGUCGAAUAUUGGACUAGGACCCCAUGGGACCAGGGUUCGAAUCCCUGCUCAGAUG